rnacentral:rRNA from 1 species
GAUGAACGCUGGCGGCGUGCCUAAUACAUGCAAGUCGAGCGAACGGACGAGAAGCUCGCUUCUCUGAUGUUAGCGGCGGACGGGUGAGUAACACGUGGAUAACCUACCUAUAAGACUGGGAUAACUUCGGGAAACCGGAGCUAAUACCGGUUAAUAUUUUGAACCGCAUGGUUCAAAAGUGAAAGACGGUCUUGCUGUCACUUAUAGAUGGAUCCGCGCUGCAUUAGCUAGUUGGUAAGGUAACGGCUUACCAAGGCAACGAUGCAUAGCCGACCUGAGAGGGUGAUCGGCCACACUGGAACUGAGACACGGUCCAGACUCCUACGGGAGGCAGCAGUAGGGAAUCUUCCGCAAUGGGCGAAAGCCUGACGGAGCAACGCCGCGUGAGUGAUGAAGGUCUUCGGAUCGUAAAACUCUGUUAUUAGGGAAGAACAUAUGUGUAAGUAACUGUGCACAUCUUGACGGUACCUAAUCAGAAAGCCACGGCUAACUACGUG